rnacentral:rRNA from 1 species
CAGUCGCCGCGGUAAUACGAAGGGUGCAAGCGUUACUCGGAAUUACUGGGCGUAAAGCGUGCGUAGGUGGUGGUUUAAGUCCGUUGUGAAAGCCCUGGGCUCAACCUGGGAAUUGCAGUGGAUACUGGGUCACUAGAGUGUGGUAGAGGAUAGUGGAAUUUCCGGUGUAGCAGUGAAAUGCGUAGAGAUCGGAAGGAACAUCUGUGGCGAAGGCGACUAUCUGGGCCAACACUGACACUGAGGCACGAAAGCGUGGGGGGCAAACAGGAUUAGAUACCCCGGUAGUCCCUGUCUCUUAUAC